AGAGAGGGUUUUUACAAUGGUGGGAGAGAUAAAUAAAAGUCUUGGUGUAGUAGUGUUGUCUCAUAAUUGUACCUUUCAUGGAGGGAUUCUAGGCCGAUAUAUAGCCAUAAGAUUUGGAAUCUCCUAAGGGUCAUGCUGUAUCGCACCGAAGUUGAGCGAUUACUGCCGAGGGACAUAACCAUCAUAACCACCAUAAGAUACGAUAUAAUUGCUUAGAGCCAUUAUGGUAAUCUUUAAUUCUUGGCAUGAUGGAGGGAGCACACUUCCAUAUAAGAUGGAGAGCCACCGCCCGAGGUGAGAGGAUUCAGAUUGGUUUGGAAUAGAAGGUGACCUAAAUGGCUAUCUAUCUAAGCUAUGGAACUUUGUGUCAGGCAGCAUAUGACCUUAGAGGUCGGUUGUUUCUAAUUUCUUCAUCAUGGCUCUCAAAUUAAUCGAGGUGGAUCUAGUUUGACUAUGCAGAAUGCCACAUCAGCUUUGAGUUAGACUAAUUCGGUCAUGCCACAUUAUCAGGCUCAUUUUUUGCCACAUUACUUGCCCCCUGCUCCUGAGUUUAUGUCGUUUCUCUUGGUUUGAGUGAAGGAAUUAACUUCAUCCUCUGCUUCUAUGCUAUUUUCAUGUUGUUAAAUUUUUUGGGAGAAUGUUUUGAGGGAUGAGCUUCCUCAUUUCAAUUCUAGAAGGCUCUAUUGACUACCUAGCAAAGAAUGUUGGUAUGACACAUGUUAGCUUGCUAGGUUGGAUAGUUGAUCUGUCAGAUUAAUCCGACCUCAUCACCUCGACUCUAGUUAGAAAGCUUUGAGAUUUUAAGUUAGGCUACUUUAUCUUGAGAUUUAGGAUGUCAUGGAUUCUCCAACAGUUUUAGGCGAAGUUUCUUAAAUGGAGAUGCAGCCUGGGGAGGAAAUAAUCCAGACUUCUUCUCCUCAACCCAUCAUGCCUGAUAAAUUCAAUUUUGGCUAGUCGAUGAAUGAUACUG
rnacentral:lncRNA from 1 species